AUUGAACGCUGGCGGCAGGCCUAACACAUGCAAGUCGAGCGGAUGAAGGGAGCUUGCUCCUGGAUUCAGCGGCGGACGGGUGAGUAAUGCCUAGGAAUCUGCCUGGUAGUGGGGGAUAACGUCCUGAAACGGGCGCUAAUACCGCAUACGUCCUGAGGGAGAAAGUGGGGGAUCUUCGGACCUCACGCUAUCAGAUGAGCCUAGGUCGGAUUAGCUAGUUGGUGGGGUAAAGGCCUACCAAGGCGACGAUCCGUAACUGGUCUGAGAGGAUGAUCAGUCACACUGGAACUGAGACACGGUCCAGACCCCUACGGGAGGCAGCAGUGGGGAAUAUUGGACAAUGGGCGAAAGCCUGAUCCAGCCAUGCCGCGUGUGUGAAGAAGGUCUUCGGAUUGUAAAGCACUUUAAGUUGGGAGGAAGGGCAGUAAGUUAAUACCUUGCUGUUUUGACGUUACCAACAGAAUAAGCACCGGCUAACUUCGUG
rnacentral:rRNA from 1 species